rnacentral:rRNA from 1 species
GGCAGCGGGAAAGUAGCUUGCUACUUUUGCCGGCGAGCGGCGGACGGGUGAGUAAUGCCUGGGAAAUUGCCCAGUCGAGGGGGAUAACAGUUGGAAACGACUGCUAAUACCGCAUACCCCCUACGGGGGAAAGCAGGGGACCUUCGGGCCUUGCGCGAUUGGAUAUGCCCAGGUGGGAUUAGCUAGUUGGUGAGGUAAUGGCUCACCAAGGCGACAAUCCCUAGCUGGUCUGAGAGGAUGAUCAGCCACACUGGAACUGAAACACGGUCCAAACUCCUACGGGAGGCAGCAGUGGGGAAUAUUGCACAAUGGGGGAAACCCUGAUGCACCCAUGCCGCGUGUGUGAAGAAGGCCUUCGGGUUGUAAAGCACUUUCAGCGAGGAGGAAAGGUCAGUAGCUAAUAUCUGCUGGCUGUGACGUUACUCGCAAAAAAAGCACCGGCUAACUCCGUG